rnacentral:lncRNA from 1 species
CAGAAACCCUGCAGGACCCAAUGUUACUACCCUGAAUAGAAGACAGUAUUGAAUGUUGCAAAGGUUAGAAGGGAGAUGAUUGACCAGUAAAAUGAUGGAAAUGCAAGAAAAUAAGAAUGUUAAGAUUUUUCAACGCCCACACCCUAAGAAACGGGAUUGAAAAGCAGUGACUUCAAGUAUAACACCAGAGUUUCCAUUUGGAUCCUUGAGGCAGUUGGAGUGAUCAAGCUUUCAAAUCCCUGAAAACGUGAGCUGUGCUAUGUCUGGGGCAGGCUCCAUAUUUUUAUUAUGUACCACACAACUCUAAAAGCAAUACAGAAAUUCAGGGCACUUAGAUUGAAAAAUGAACACUUUCCACAUUUAAAGGAGAAAGACUUACAUAUUUUUGGAGUUACAUACAUUCUUCAUCCCAUUUAUGAAAUCCAAAACCCACGGUUGGGCAUAAAGCAGGAGAUUUAAUACUCUUCUGCUGGUGGGUUUUGUUGAUUUUUACUGCCCCCUCCACCCACCCCUACCUUAUCCCACUCCAUCCCCUCUGCUCUUUUUGUUCUUCAUAGUUUUGUGCUAACUUCAGAGCUGCAAAUGUGUCAUUGAUCACAGAUUUAUAUAUAUGAGCUAAGAGCAGGAAUGCUAAAAUAAUUUCUUUCUCAGGCCUUAAAGAUAAAUGAUAGGUCAAGAUGCUUUACUUCAUAGCCAAACAUACUAAGGCACAGAGCAACAUGGCAGGAAUUUGAGUUGUGAGCGCCAGAAGUGCUUGUUCAGCACUAACAAGAAAUAGGAGAAUAGGAUCAGUAUAAUCUCAUAUUCUUAUUAAAUUAAAAAAAGACAGAGAGUAAUGCCAAGGUUAUGACAUGAACUGACAAGACCAAAAAAAAAAUCAGUUUUUCUGAUGCUUCAGCCUUUGCAAGCAUAGGAAAGAAUUAAAAAAAAAAAAAAAAAAAGCCCUGUGGCAUGAGUUAUAGAUGAAGUAUCUGCCUUUAGCUUGGAAUUUCCUGGCAUUUUUCAGCCUGUGACACAGACUUGAUGUGAUUAAACAAAGGCUUUUCUCCAAAUUUAAAGCUCUUAAAAAAAAAAGCUGAAUCUAAUACUCUAACUUGUUUUUAAAUGGGAGCAGAUGCCUCUGUUUCUUGAGCUGACUUCCAGAUUCUGAGAAAUAAAUGAAGAGUGGAGGCUUGUUUUGGUAGAGGCUGAGAAAAGGAGUUGGCCAUAUUUGCCCUUCAGAACUUCGUGUCAUCCCCCAGCUCCCCAACGGCAGGGCCACAUUCUUUCACAGGACGGAGUUGGGGCAGAUUAUGGCUUCCUCUGGAUUGGAUUUCCCUUGGCUUCCCUGAGGGCAAUCCCCCGAGGAAGCACAUCCUGGAGCCAAACUCACCCAAUGAACCACAGCAACAGCUCCUAGGAGAAUGAAGAGUGUGAAUGGAUGGCCUUUUCAAAAUGAUGAGCCUGGAAGAGUUACAGACUCUGGCCCGAAAGAACCAAAGUUGAAGGUAGAGAUGUUUUAAGGAUGAGCAGAGCAGAACAACUUAGCAGUGGGAUGUUAAAGGCAACAUGAAUCAACCACUCCCUGCUAGAAUGGAAGAUUCAUGGGAGCAGGAACCUUGUUUACUAUGUUCCUUAUUGCAAUCCUAAUGCCUGGAACUCUAACUAAUACGUAGGAGGACUCCACAAUUCAUUGAAAACUGAAGAAAUGAAUUCACUUGCGCAUUUCCAGUUCCAUUCCUGAACUCUUCCUUUAGUGAGAAGCACAUGAUGACCUUGUUAAUAUGAAAAUUGAUAAUGGGGUGAGAGAAGAAAAGAAAAGCAUAAAAUACCUGUCUAAUCCAUGCACCACCAGACACCAGAGCAUGUGGGAAGUGGCCAAGAAGAUGAUGCAGGGACGUCUGAGCCCACUUUCUUAUUGGACUUUCCUAGGUACUGUGGCCUGGGAAAUGAUAUUAGAAGUAAUGCAUUAGAAGUGGAAAACAAAACAGGAAAUUUAAGGUCAACAUUCAGAGUCUACUGUGCUCUCUUACUUGGGCUCACCUGAGAGCAUCUUGGUAGGCCAAUGUUGUUUCAGGGGCUCUGAAGUGGGAUCCCCUUGAGAAAUGACCUUGAGUUUCUCUGUUCCACACAUAUGGAACCCUAGCCUUUGGAGGACACUUAGGUCUAUGUGCUUGGGAUAUAACAAGACUCUGCUUUUGAUCUUGAAAAGCUUGAAUGAUAUUUAGGAAGGCAUGAUAUAUAUACAAGGAAAAUGAAACAAUGUUUAUGGUUUUUUUUUUUUUUUUUUUUUUUUUUUGAGAUGGGGUCUCACCCUGUCGGCCAGGGUGGAGUGCAGUGGUGAGAACUCAGAGGCUCACUGCAACCUCCACCUCCCGAAUUCCGGAGAUUCUCUUGCCUCAGCCUCUCAGGUUGUUGGGAUUACAAGCAUGUGCCACCAUACCUGGCUGAUAUUUGUAUUUUUAGUAGAGACAGAGUUUCAUCAUGUUGGCCAGGAUGGCCUUGAACUCCUGACCUCAAGUGAUCUGCCUGCCUUGGCCUCCCAAGGUGUUGGGAUUACAGGCGUGAGCCACUGUACCCUGACAGAAACAAUUUAUAAGAAAAAUUACAAAGUAACAAUGUGUGCAAAGUGUCAAAUAAAGGAUAACUUCAGAACUGAUGACUUCAGAAGCACAGAGGGAUGACUGAUGCUGCCAGUGACCCCAGAGCCUUUUGUUUUCCUCCAAUAUUCUCAGUGCUUUAAAUAUUUAAUGAUCCUUCAACGUCUCUCUGAAUGCACUCCAAAUUAUGGAAGUCCUGGUUGAGAGUGGGGCCUGGAGCAGUUUAGAACCCUCUAAUCAAAGGCAGGUCCAUCUCUGGAGGAAGUUCCUACCUGGGGCAGAGAACAACUUAUAGCACAGUGCUCCAAAAUUUUCAGAGAACUGUGGGUAAGAUGAAUAUCAAGGUCAGGCUUAAAGUGGAGCAACAAGGGAACGGAUAUCCCAGUUAGCAAUCUGUGGCCCAGGGAGUGAGAGAACUUUAGCCUCAGCCAUUGCAUUUGUAACUGUUUGAGGAUGCAGGAGGGAGGGUCCAGGCUGGGCCUAGAGGACACUGAGACAUAUCUGGGCUUAUCUAAUGAGGUUGAGAAGUUGGUGGGCCACCAGGCUUGCUUAACGGGAGGGUAGAGAUUUUCACAUUGGAGUUUUCAUGUGGUGAUGUGUUUCCUUAGCCUCCCUGUUUUCUAGGAUACAUGGACUAAGGCAUUGGAGUGAGAUAGGAAAAGCUGGAAGGUCUCUAUGAGAUCAUGAGAGGCAGGGGUAAAGGGAUCUGCAGUAACUCAGUGUGACACAGUGUGGAACAGAAUGAUCUCUUUGCCUCUGUGGGGAGGACAGCGUGCCCUAGCACUGUGGCUGGUAGUGUUGGUGUGUCAAGGUCUGUUUCAGGUGGCACUGAAGGCUCUAUGAGCAUUGGCGGCAGAGUGGUGUGUUGGUGAAGAAGGAAAGCCCUAGAGCUCACAGCCAUCGAAGAGACACACCUAAGACAGCUCCUCACACUCCCAGAAAUGUCCUGGGGGAACUUUACAGGGGCUUCACUGGGAUGUGUGUGGGGAGGGCAAAUUUCGGUUAUUAUUUUAAUUGUUAGCCUAACCAUGUCUGCAUCAUGAUACCAUAAGCCAGGGAAACAGUUGGGUCAGAAUUAAUGGAAAUUGUUACUUUUCUCACGCGGUGAUGUUUUAAGUGCCUGCUGAACUCCAUUUCGGGCCCAUAGACUCAGGCCACGCAGGAGUGCCUCAUUUCUGACCUUAUAGAUGACUCAAGUAGGACCCUGAGAGACUGCUGAAAGCUUUCCUUCAUUUUAACUAAUUCAGCACAUAUUCUGUGGUUGCUUUCAGAGAGUAAGGCCUUGUACCAGGAACUUCCACUGUAGCCAAAUAGAAUCUGCAAGCGUGCCAUAAGAGAAAGCCUGGUGCAAGGGACAGAAGAUAGUUCCAGAAUCAAAAGACCUCUGUUUGUAUUUCAGGACAUGUUAUUUUGGGCAAAGAAUCUGAUGUCUCUGGGCUCUAGUACUCUCAACUGUGAAAUGAGAAAAUAUUUUAUGAAUGCAAAAUUGGGACAUAGAGUCUGACCAAGGUUUCCUAUGGGAGUUUCAGACAUGGUAAUUAGAAACCAGGAAGACUGAGAAGGAAUCAAAUUUGCAGCAGCUCAGUAAGUGGUAGACUGGGAACAAGAAGCCAGUUCUCUGGGCUCUUGAAGCAAGGCCCUGCCACGUUGUCUUUCCCCAGGAGAGGAGGUCAUAAGACAUUCAUUCCAGAGAGAGUCCUGCCCCACCUCUGAGAAGGAAGGAAUGUACACUCAAGAGAGAUCAAGAAGAAUCUAAACAAACAGGCCCUUCUGCGUUUUCCCACAAGAGAAAAUGAUCUAAUUAACAUUCGAUCAUAACUUUUUGUCCAAUUAUAUUUCUACACUGCUGUUCAUACUUUAUUUAACCUAGGCAUAAAAAUUGACAAUUUUUAUUGUAUUUUU